rnacentral:tRNA from 1 species
UGCCCCGUGGCUGAGUUGGUUACAGCGUCCGACUGUUACUCUUAUGUAGCAAUCGGAAGGUCAUGAGUUCGAGCCUCAUCGGGGCAG